UACGGAGGGGGCUAGCGUUAUUCGGAAUUACUGGGCGUAAAGCGCACGUAGGCGGCUAUUCAAGUCAGAGGUGAAAGCCCGGAGCUCAACUCCGGAACUGCCUUUGAAACUAGAUAGCUUGAACAUCGGAGAGGUAAGUGGAAUUCCGAGUGUAGAGGUGAAAUUCGUAGAUAUUCGGAAGAACACCAGUGGCGAAGGCGGCUUACUGGACGAUUGUUGACGCUGAGGUGCGAAAGCGUGGGGAGCAAACAGG
rnacentral:rRNA from 1 species